rnacentral:pre_miRNA from 1 species
AGUAGAAUUUCUGGAUCAUAUGGUAAGUUUAUAUUUUAAUUUUUAAGAAACUGUCAAUCUGUUUUUCAAAGUGGCUGUACCAUUUUACAUUUCCACAAGGAAU